rnacentral:rRNA from 1 species
GAUGAACGCUAGCUACAGGCUUAACACAUGCAAGUCGAGGGACCGGCGCACGGGUGAGUAACACGUAUCCAACCUUCCCUUUACUCGGAGAUAGCCUUUCGAAAGCAAGAUUAAUACCCGAUGUAACGGAUGGGGAUGCGUUCCAUUAGGUUGUUGGUGAGAGAACGUCUCACCAAGCCUUCGAUGGAUAGGGGUUCUGAGAGGAAGGUCCCCAACAGUUGAACGGAGACACGGUCCAAACUCCUACGGGAGGCAGCAGUGAGGAAUAUUGGUCAAUGGGCGUUAGCCUGAACCAGCCAAGGAGCGUGAAGGAUGAAGGCUUAUGGGUCGUAAACUUCUUUUAUAUAAGAAUAUGUAUUAUAUGAAUAAGGAUCGGCUAACUCCGUGCCAGCAGCCGCGGUAAUUC